CGACAGUCGCGAAAGCUCCGCAUUUCGCGCGCGAUUUUUCUCCCGUUUUCGUGACACGAAUGAAUGUCCGCGAGUUGCCGCAAAUCGUGAUCCUGCGUAUCCCGUCGCGGUAAAUCGACGCGAACGAUCUUGCCAUCUAUUCGCGUCCAUCGAUACUCGAUGACCGGCUAAGCGUCGCGCGUUGCCUCGUGUCUCUGCCACCGCGCCGGCCGGUUCGAGGCUAAUUGCCAUAGGUAUGCAAAUCCGCCAUUGCUGUAUCUAGCCCGUAAUCUAUCGCGAUUUCGCGAAGCCGUACACGUGUGUCACGCGUGGAAGGUUGAACCGCCGUGAAUUGCUCGGCGAACGCUCGGGCAUCCGUUUGACAUCGAAAGCAUUCGCUCGGCGUGAAGGAGCGCUACGCGUGCGCGAUCAAGAAUCGAAAACGCCAUGCCGCGGUCGAAGGUGAAAUCGGGGUUUCGGAGCAUCUGAUGUCAAGUCUGUCGUCGCGUAAAUUUGUUGAUCGUUCGGGAGUGCCGAAAGUGACGGGCGAUUUUUACGUUAAUUCGCGUUUGUGUGUAUGUGUUUCGUGUGAACGUCUCAAGCAACGACAAAACAGGCGAGGCAGCGGGGACGGACGGCGACCGGCACGGCGAUACAUCGGCGGUACAUCGGCGCUGGGAAUAAAGAUGAGCCUCCAGUAAUGUAGCUCCAUUUUCGCUUCUUCUCCGACUUGAGCCUGGCAAGCACGACUCUGAUGAACCUUUUGGCAGUCCUUUUCAUGAUUCAGCUAUUAUUCAUCGUAGGCGCUGAAGGAUUACAGGUAUUUUUAUGUUUCUCUGUUUUCUGUUUAUUACGAGACAAUCAUCUCGCAUAUAAUAGCGUCGUGACUAUAUGUACGACUAGUUUAUAAACGAUCAAUUGUCAUUUUUCAAUAAUUUUGUAAUGGUUAUUGGUUUUGAUUCUGCACAAUAUUAUAAUUUCAUAUUUAUUCUAUUACGUUAUAAUUAGCUCGAUUAAUUCCGUUCGCGUUGCCGCGAUUCAGGAAGUUAGAAUUCGCGUUGGUAAAUAAUUGCUCAUUCAUUGACAACGCGGUGAUACGUAAACAACAUUGGGGUCGUUGUUAAUGGCAAUUUGGUAUAUUUGUUACCAUGUUCGGAAUAAAGACCGAAUGAAACGAACAACCGCGAUUAUACCCGGGACUUGUAAUUACCGAAAGAGCCGUGGAUUCACGUCGCACGGACCUAUCGUGUAGCACAGCACGUGUGUAAUUAUUGGGUUACUGUCAGGCAUAUCUUGUUGACAAGUUUUAUCGCGAUUAAAACGAGAUAGUUUGUGGCAUUUGGAACAGUCGAUACAAUACCAAACCGUGCAUCGCGUGUCGAUUCGCUGAGAUUGAAUUUCGACCGCGAACAAUCUCGCUUUUUUUCAACCAAUUCCUAAAAUGGUCAGAUAAGUGUCAGUCGCACAAUGCAGUUUAUUUUUUAAGUCG